rnacentral:rRNA from 1 species
GGACAGUAUGGGAGUGAGAAUGUUGGCAUGAGUAGCGAGAUGUGGGUGAGAAUCCCACAGGCCGUAAACCCAAGGUUUCCAGGGGAAGGUUCGUCCGCCCUGGGUUAGUCGGGACCUAAGCUGAGGCCGAAAGGCGUAGGUGAUGGACAACAGGUUGAUAUUCCUGUACUACCGAUAACCGGUUGAGAGAAGGGAUGACACAGUAGGAUAAGCUAAGCACACUGUUGGUUAUGUGUGCCCAAGCAUUGAGGCAGUCAAAGUAGGUAAAUCCGCUUUGAUAAUGCUGGGAUGUGAUGGGGAGCGAAAUUUAGUAGCGAAGUAGCUGAUUUCACACUGUCAAGAAAAGUCUCGAUCGAGGUUAAAGGUACCCGUACCGCAAACCGACACAGGUG